CGCGUAGGCGGUUUCGGAAGUUAUGGGUGAAAGCCCCCCGGCUCAACUGGGGAAUUGCCUGUAAAACCACGGAUCUGGAGUGCUGGGAGGGGGGAAGUGGAAUUCCCAGUGUAGCGGUGAAAUGCGUAGAUAUUGGGAGGAACACCAGUGGCGGAGGCGGCUUCCUGGACAGACACUGACGCUGAGGCGCGAAAGCCGAGGGGAGCGAACG
rnacentral:rRNA from 1 species